UGGGGAAUAUUGCACAAUGGGGGGAAACCCUGAUGCAGCGACGCCGCGUGAACGAAGAAGUAUUUCGGUAUGUAAAGUUCUAUCAGCAGGGAAGAUAAUGACGGUACCUGACUAAGAAGCACCGGCUAAAUACGUGCCAGCAGCCGCGGUAAUACGUAUGGUGCAAGCGUUAUCCGGAUUUUACUGGGUGUAAAGGGAGCGCAGGCGGGGAUGCAAGUCAGAUGUGAAAUCUAUGGGCUUAACCCAUAAACUGCAUUUGAAACUGUAUCUCUUGAGUGUCGGAGAGGUAGACGGAAUUCCUAGUGUAGCGGUGAAAUGCGUAGAUAUUAGGAGGAACACCAGUGGCGAAGGCGGUCUACUGGACGAUAACUGACGCUGAGGCGCG
rnacentral:rRNA from 1 species